CCAGGAAAUAUCACUCCAAAGUCCAUUUCUGGUCUGGCAGCCCAUCUAGAAUCUGAGAGCCAGAGAGGAGAGAACUUGGCUUUCUUCAAAAGGUGAAGGCAGGGUGACAGGGGUGAGCUCCAAUACCUUGAGAAGAUGGUGGCAAGAGAGGUACCCAUGAGAGCCAUCACCCUGACAGCGGCUCAUGUGUCUCUGAGUUUACUGGCCACAGGAUCUGCAGUGUGGCCCACUGCAUUAGUGGUGCUUGCCGGGAUCGCCUUCUACUUCUGGAC